rnacentral:rRNA from 1 species
GACGUAGGAUGCAAGCGUUGUCCGGAUUUAUUGGGCGUAAAGAGUCCGUAGGUGGUUUGUUAAGUCUGAUGUUAAAGACUGGGGCUCAACCUCGGAAAUGCAUUGGAUACUGGCAGACUUGAGUGUGGUAGAGGCAAUCGGAAUUCCAGGUGUAGCGGUGAAAUGCGUAGAUAUCUGGAAGAACACCGGUGGCGCAAGCGGAUUGCUGGGCCAUAACUGACACUGAGGAACGAAAGCUAGGGGAGCAAAUGGG